ACCAUUUUAAAAUAGUGGAAUAUAAUAAAUUUUAGAGGGGUAGAUAUGGAUAGAGGAAACAUAGUCCAGCUAUUAAAUUUAAACAAUUUUGACACAAAAAUUUAGUCCUUUAAUUUUAACUGACAUAUAAGAGUGCCAGCAGCCGCGGUUAAACUUUAAGUUAAACUAUUAUAACAAUCAUAAUCUAUAAUAUUGAAUUUGAAAAUAUGCUAUACUAGUAAAAUAGAUAGUUAUUUAUUCCUAAUAAUUUAUUAACUUCAAAAAUAAGAAAAUAGAAACUAGGAUUAGAUACCCUACUAUCCUUAAAUUAAAUCAGUAGAUAUGGGUAAUAACAUUAAAAAAAAAUGGAAACCCAAAUUUUAUGGCGGCAAUUAUAAUUUACAGGGGAACUUACCACAUAAUAGACAACCACCAAGAAAAUGUACCUUUUAAAAAAAGUUUGUAUACCGUCGUAUAAUCAAUCCUUAAAGGGUUAAUAUAACUUACAUAAAUUUAUCUUAUUACAGAUCAAGGUGCAAUAAAUUAAGAGGCGUAGGCGAGUUACAAUAAAUAUCAUUUCGGAAAUAUGCUUUAACAGAAAUGGAAGAUGGACUUGUAAGUAUAUUUUAUAAAUAUUAUAAAUGGAAUAAAUCAUAUAAUUGUGCACAAAUCGCCCGUC
rnacentral:rRNA from 1 species